CUUACAACUGCCAGUAUAAGCAGGUCUCAGCUGAUCUGUCGUACUCACCAGGGGAACCUAAGAAUUUCUCAUCUGAAUGAAGAGUUGUCUUCCUCCCAGAUACACAACACCCAGCGAAGAUAAAUAGAAGUGGAACGGGAGUUAUGAUGCUCGCAACAGCUCUGCCCCAGUCCACAUAAUGGAACUGGAUUCAUAACGCCUUUCGAAAAUGAGUUCUGGGAGCCAUCCAUUUCCCUCUGCGUGCAGCAUUUGCCCAGCACGCCUCACCGAAGUUACGGCAAUGACCUCCUCACUGGUCUCCUCAUCUGCUCUUGACGCUCUGCAACCAGUUCCUGCACAGCAGCCAACAGCAGCCACUAUCCACAGAAAUACCCACUGCUAUAGGGUUCCAGUGCCUCCAGCACUGGGCACACCCUGGGGAACAAAAUUGAUGCCUGCCUUCGAGGUGCUUAUGUUCCAGCAGGAGAGAGAAGGACGGUAACAACAAAGGUGUUUACUCUGUGCCAAGCACUGGCCUGGGUGCCAGGGCACCAUGGAGAACAGGACGGACAAGGUCCCUAUCCUAUGGGAGUCAUAAACAGAAAGCAAAUAAAGAAGAUAACUUCAGAUGAUGAUAUGCUGAUGAUAUGCCAUUCCGAAGACGAAACAGGGCAGUGUGGCUGCAAGUGGUGAGAGGGUGGGGCACCUUCAGCCUGGAUGGCCAGGGAGGCCACAUUUCAGGAAAUGACUUUUGAGCUGAGAAGGAGUCAGUUCUAUGUCUGGGAGAAAGAGCGCAGCCAAAGAGCAAGUGCAUAGCCCCUGAAGUAGGACUGACCUUGAACUAUUUGAACUGAACCUUGAACCAGAAAGGCAGACUGUAUGGCGGGAGCCAAGCGGGCUGCUUCUCCAGCUAGAUUGGCAGCCCCAGAAGGCCCAGGACCCCUGUGUUUUCUUUGCAGCUACAUCCAUUGUGCUUGCUCACUCACAGUUGACACUCCUUGCAUUGGUUGAACGAAGGAGUAACUAUUUCAGUUUUGUC